rnacentral:rRNA from 1 species
AGUGAACGCUGGCGGCGUGCCUAAUACAUGCAAGUCGAACGAAGUGGCGCACGGGUGAGUAAUAUAUAGUUAAUCUGCCCUACACAGAGGAACAACAGUUGGAAACGACUGCUAAUACCUCAUAGUGUAGGAUGGGACUAUAUCGUAUCAGCUAGUUGGUAAGGUAAUGGAUUAACAAGGGUAUGACGCGUAACUGGUCUGAGAGGAUGCUCAGUCGCAUUGGACCUGAGACACGGUCCAAACACCUACGGGAAGGAGCAGUAAGGAAGAUUGCGCAAUGCGUGAAACCCUGACGCAGCAACGGAGCGUGGAGGAUGACACUUUUCGGAGCGUAAACUCCUUUUAUCAGGAAAGCGGUACCUGAUGAAUAAGCACCGGCUAACUCCGUGCCAGCAGCCGCGGUAAUUC